AUUUCAGCAGUUUGUUUCAUAAAGGCAGGUGCUCCAGUAUUCUCUGCAUAUACAUUUAUCAACUUUCCCUUUUUUUGUUGGAUGGUCCCCCUAUCUGCCUACGAAUAUCUGCCGCAGCCAGCGCCGGGAAGGAGUCAGGCGAGAAACUGAAGACACAGGGAGACCAGUUGCUCACGAGGCAAAAGAUGAUUUAUUGAAGAACUCCAGAAUUUUUUUAAUGUUUCAAAACAAAGAGUAGUACAAGUCACUUUAGGACACUUUCUUGUGCAUACAGCAAAGGUAAACAUGUUCUUGGGCCCGUGAGAAACUUCUAUGUUGUGCAGCCCAGGAGGUAAAUAUGUUCUUGGGCCCAUGAGAAACUUCUAUUAUUUAUGUUAUGAAGCUAUUCCCAGGUUAAUAUCAGCGCGAUGCUUUGUCUAGAAGGCUGAGGUUACUGCAGGAUGAGGAACUGGGUGAGGUCCAGCUUUAGUGUGUGGUUUUCCACACCCGUUCACUGCCGGACCCCUGGCUUCCGCUCCCAACAUAUCCCCCUUAUUUCUUAGACAAAGCGUUGCAUGGGAAUUUUAUUAGCAGUUGAUUCUAACUUAAAAUGUUUCAAGUCCAAACGCACAUUUCUCAUUUGCCCAACAACAAUUCUCACAAAAUAUGGAAAAAUUGUUAUCAUGACAAUAAAUGCUAGAGCUCCAAUACCAGCUAGAACGAUAAAAUGUGAAAUGUCCGUGAGGCUUGGGAAAUGUCUGGUUAAUGCGUUGAAUAUUUGCUCAGUUUUUUUUUGCUAUGUCAACUUUUAUUGCUGGUGUAUUGGUUAUAUCUUGGAUAGUUUUAUGCAGCUUAAGCAAAUCUAGAGAGGUAUUGGAAUUAUGUAAUAUUCCUAGCAAAUGAUUUUUCACCCUAUCCCAAGGUACAUCACUUUCAUUAUAUCUAUGUGAAGUAACACAAAUAUGUUUGUAUAAGGCACGACAUUUUAAAGAAGAUUGUACUUGCAAAGCAUAUAAUUGGUCUCCUAAGGUUAUUACUGUAUCUUGUAGAGCAUUUAAUUUUUGUUUAAUCAGACUAUCCCAAUUUUUCUGUAUUUUCAAAACCAAAGAAACAUUAUGGGAUAACUCAUUAACAUAGGAUGUAGUUUGCACACUUUCUGUAAGAGAUAUUGUGGACAUUGCAAAGGAGGCUAUCAAAGUAAUAAGUGCAGCAAUUCCAGUCAUUAACAUCCCAACAAAUCGUUUGGCCCGAUUUAAAAGGUUAGUUAAUUUUUGUAAAAUAACCACAGAAGGAUCUUGAUACCACUCUGUGGUGAUAUUAACAGGUAAAAAUACAAAUGGAGGUUGUUUGACCAGUAAUAUGGAUGAGUGGUUUCGUGAAGCAUUAACGCAAUUGGAUAAGAUGCAAUCUUUACAAGUAAUUUCAUAAGAUUUAUUGUUCUUAUUUACAGUAAGUUCUCCACUUAUAACACCAUAUGGUUUAGAAACACAAGCUAUGAUAGUUACAUUUUUUACUGUGCCAUUAACAGAAAUAGCAUCCUGUGUCCCUAUAUGUUGUCAUACAACUUUUUUCUUUGUAACAGCAAUAUAAUCAAGUGCUGCAACCAACUUUCACAGCAUGGUAAAAAAGGUGAUGUUAUUCUUUGUCCAUAUUCCAUAUAAUAAAUUUUGGGGCCUGUA